rnacentral:rRNA from 1 species
GACGAACGCUGGCGGCGUGCUUAACACAUGCAAGUGGAGCGACGAACCAGGGCUUGCCCUGGGGCAGAGCCGCGAACGGGUGAGUAACACGUGGGUAACCUGCCCAGAUGACCGGGACAACCCGAGGAAACUCGGGCUAAUACCGGGUGUGCUGUCCCCACAUCAGUGGGGUUAGGAAAGGUAGCUUCGGCUUCCGCAUCUGGAUGGGCCCGCGGCCCAUUAGCUUGUUGGUGAGGUAACGGCUCACCAAGGCCUCGAUGGGUAGCUGGUCUGAGAGGACGAGAGGCCAGACAGGGCCUGAGACACGGCCCAGACGCCUACGGGAGGCAGCAGUGGGGAAUCUUGCGCGAUGCGCGAAAGCAUGACGCAGCAACGCCGCGUGCGGGAAGACGGCCUUCGGGUUGUAAACCGCUGUCAGUGGGGACGAAGCCUUUGCGGUUAAUAGCCGUGGAAGGUGACGGUACCUUCAGAAGAAUCCCCGGCUAACUACGUGCCAGCAGCCGCGGUAA